rnacentral:lncRNA from 1 species
CUCAAAUACAGAUGGAUACAUGUCAUUAUGCAAGCUAUCUGCUUUUCAGAGCUGCUGCCUCAAACUUCCUGCAGUAAGAUGCCCCCUCACACUCCCUGCAGUCCCCCAUCCCUGGCACUGGCUUUCCUUGAAAACAUAUAAUCUUGUCUACCUGCAUUUUUGUAUGUUUAGGCUCAAGCAAAGAAUCCAUUAUGAAAAUGACAGAACUGCCAGAAAGAAUUAUGACUUCACUGCUUAACAAGCUGUGAAUUCACUGUGGAGGUAGCAAGGCAGAGAAGCAAAGAAACAGGAGGAAGAAUAUAUAUGAAGGGAAACUCGCCUUGGGCUCUGCACUACUGCAAGUUGAGAAUGGUUUUCCCAGCCUUUCAGGAUUUCCAUGUUUGCUCCACCACAAACUACCUAAGUUUCUUUCCAUAGUAUGGGGCAGGAUUUUUGCCUUUUACCUAAAGUUGGUAAUACUUAGAAUGAUGAAGUUGAUGAUAAUGGCAGCUUGCAUUUAUUGAGAGAAAAACAAGUAUGACAGAGGUCUGAAGGACCAGAGGGGACCACUUAUUAGCUCAUCACAAACUUGAAACAGGCAAAAUGUACCUGUCAGAGCCUAAGUAGAACUGGAUUGCAUGAUGUAUGGCAGUGAUCUUCCAGAGCGCUCUCAAGUGUGUUUGACACGAGUGAACUGUGUUCGAGUUGAUUCUCCCUAUGGCAGUCCCAAAGCCUAAUUAUGAAAACACGAUAAGAUCAUUGCACAGUUAGACCAUUGCACCAUUGGCAUUCCUAAUAAACAGAUCAGCUUAGCCCAGCA